rnacentral:lncRNA from 1 species
UUCUGUAUAAUGUUAGUCAUUCUACUGACUAUUUUCCACAGUAUUGUUAGUGUUUUCAAUGCUAAAUACCUGAUGGUGUUACUGGUUUCUUCACCAGACAGAGCACAGACUAACCCAUCAAACAAGCCUUUUGGACAGCAGAACACCCAGAGGAAUGGUGACGAAGAACCCUGGACUGGGUAUUAUGGCAGAUCUGGUAAAACAAGAGGAGCAAAUGGAAGAAACCCAAGGUACUGACUGACCAGAGACUGUCAACAAAUGACAAUGAAGACAUUUUUAAUAACCCUAUUUAUAGGCCUAUCUAAAAUAAAGUUUUUUUCCCCCUCCAAAUUAACUCCUUGAGUUUUGAAGUGGUGGAGGAAUUUGAAAUUAAAAGUAGAACAUGUUCAUGAAAUGGGGCUUAUUGAUCAGUAAGGGAAUUUGGACUCGCCAUGACUGCUGAACUCUAUAAAGACUUCACAAAAGCAAGAUUUAUUCACUAUCGAUUGCAAAAGGCACAGCAUAUUCAUUGUCAAGGAGUCCCAAGUGAAAGAUGAAUUUAGAUACUCCCAUAAAGGUUAUCUAAAAAGUAGCCUACCCAACACUCUUCCUGGUAGGGCUGUGAAGUUGCCUACCCACCAUGUGGUUGGUAAGCGUGGCUAACUUCAGACGGGACAAUGUUUUGACUGCACACAGGAGAUCAAGGGUCUGUUUAACUUGAGCAAAACAAGUAGGCUACUACAAGAAUCCUCACUGCUGGAAAAUGAGACGGCAUUCGACCCCAGUACUUUUCAAUCUGUUUACCAGAUAUCUUAAGUUCACUUCAUACAAACAAAUGUUUUGAAACGGAAAAGGAAGCUGACGUUUCUUAUUGGACAAGUUGACCUAUUAUCUCCCACAAUUUCAUCCUGUUUGCCUCUGUGUAGUGAAUACAACCCUGUCUCCCCCCAUGCUCGCUACGACAGUCAGUGGUCUGUCUCCUAGCUACAGCCUACAGUCAUCAACCACGCCUCUCAACAACUUAUUCUUUGGUUGCACCAGCACCUCGUUGAACCUGUUAUUUGACUCUCCACUUAGUUUCUUUCUUUGAUAAUGC